CACAAGUAAGAUCAGUGUUAUUCAUCUUUAUUAGGUUUAAAGAGUAUCUAGACUGCAUUAUAUUUUGAAAUAAUAUGCUAGAGUUUUAUGUGAGAGGUAAAUAUUAGGGCUAUUGGUGGAGAGAUAAAAUUCUUUAAUACUAAUAGAAUGUAUGAUGGUGAAGACAACCCUCUAUAUAUAAACUGACGUUAAGGGACGAAGGCU
rnacentral:rRNA from 1 species